UACGGGGGGGGCAAGCGUUGUUCGGAAUUACUGGGCGUAAAGGGCGCGUAGGUGGCCAACUAAGUCAGACGUGAAAUCCCUCGGCUUAACCGGGGAACUGCGUCUGAUACUGGAUGGCUUGAGUUUGGGAGAGGGACGCGGAAUUCCAGGUGUAGCGGUGAAAUGCGUAGAUAUCUGGAGGAACACCGGUGGCGAAGGCGGCGUCCUGGACCAAUACUGACGCUCAGGCGCGACAGCGUGGGGAUCAAACAGG
rnacentral:rRNA from 1 species